UACGAAGGGGGCUAGCGUUGCUCGGAAUUACUGGGCGUAAAGGGCGCGUAGGCGGCACUGUUAGUCAGGCGUGAAAGCCCUGGGCUCAACCCAGGAAGUGCAUUCGAAACUCCCGAACUGGAGUCCUGGAGAGGAAGGCGGAAUUCUCGGUGUAGAGGUGAAAUUCGUAGAUAUCGAGAGGAACAUCGGUGGCGAAGGCGGCCUUCUGGACAGUGACUGACGCUGAGACGCGAAAGCGUGGGGAGCAAACAGG
rnacentral:rRNA from 1 species